UACGGAGGGUGCGAGCGUUAAUCGGAAUUAUUGGGCGUAAAGGGUGCGUAGGUGGUUUAUUAAGUUAGCUGUGAAAUUCCUGGGCUUAACCUGGGGUGGUCAGCUAAGACUGAUAGACUUGAGUAUAGGAGAGGGUAGUGGAAUUUCCGGUGUAGCGGUGAAAUGCGUAGAGAUCGGAAGGAACACCAGUGGCGAAGGCGGCUACCUGGCCUGAUACUGACACUGAGGCACGAAAGCGUGGGGAGCAAACAGGAUUAGAAACCCUAGUAGUCC
rnacentral:rRNA from 1 species